UUUAAAAAUGAAUUCAAAGAAAGCUAUAUUUGGAUAAAUCUCUCCCUUUUGUGUAUCCUAUGCCUUCUAGAUUUGAGUGUCUUCUAGAUCUAGAUUUGAAUAGGAUGCUCAAAGCUGAUCGUAACAACAAAAAUAUUUCGACCAGAUGAAUAAUGUAUUAAAAUCCAAAUUGAUGCAAAAUAAUUUAAAAAAAAGGAAAAUAAUAUAUUACUCGUUAAAUUACUAGAAUUAGUUUUCUUUCAUAAGUAAAAUGCUAUGUGAAACGAAAAACAGAAUAAAAAGAAUUAAACAACUCAAAUAUUGCUUCUAUGAAGUGAAUAUCCGAAAUUGUCAUUUUAAUGCACAGAUGUUGAAAAAUAUUUUAAUACUUUCUUACAAACUAUGAAAUACCCACUGAACUAUGUGACAGAUUUAAAAAUCUUUUGCAAGUCAUUGAUGUGGCGAACAAUCCAAACAGCUGUCGAAUGGUAUGGUAUUUAAUAAAAUACGAAAUUUUACGACGUGAGUGAUCCUUAGAAGACAUAUCUUAAGCAGAUGUUUUAUGCAAAAAAAGUGAAGCAGCAUUGUCAACUGUCAAAUAUUUAUAAUGGGUAUAUAUCGCCUGAAAAUCUUGUGUAAGAUAACAAUCCAAACAACUGCAGAAUGUUAUGAUAUUUAAUAAAAUAAAAAAUUUUACGUCGUGAUCAUGAACAUUCCUUAGAAGAGAUAUUUUAAACAGAUGUUUUAUGCAAAUAACUGACAAAGCGAUGUCAACUUUCACCCAUUGAAAAUUUGCUAUCUUCUAAAAUCUGCCAUUUUGUCCGCCUUCAAAUUGUCGUCUUUUGUUAAAGGAAAUAUAUAUAUAUCAACAAAUUUAACAGUCAUCACCAGCCUUUUCCGAAAGGCCAUUUUAAUCUUCGGUAGGAAGAAAAUCAAACUAGGUCAUCUCAGACAAUCUUAGGACAGCAAAAGAAGAUGGAAUAGGACAGCAAAAGAAGAUGGAUUAGGACAACGAAGGAGAAGUAAUUUGUUCAAUCAAUAUGAGACAACAAGAAGAGCGAUUUUCGGGCAAUUGUGAAACAAGCCAGAGAAAACACCACAUGCAGUUUUAUUAAGAUAACUGAGUAAAAGAUUAUGUCAACAUGGGACAAAAGAUUACUUAAGUAAAUUAUUAUGAGACCAUAAAAAAACUUAUUGGGCAAUUAUUAUGAAACAACAGAGGGAUAAUCAUAUUAGACAAUCAUCACAGGACAAUAUAAAAAUAAAUAGGCCAAUUUUUUUAAGUAUGCUUCAUGACGAAAAGCUAUUAGAUUAGGUAUCUAUCUAGUAUGUAAUUAAAUUGUAAAACUGUAUUUCACUGUAUUGUUCUUUGCUUUAAAACCGAAUGUCAUAUAUAAUUAUUAAAGUUCUGUUGAACACA